UGGGGAAUAUUGGACAAUGGGGGGAACCCUGAUCCAGCCAUGCCGCGUGUGUGAAGAAGUCCUUAUGGUUGUAAAGCACUUUAAGCGAGGAGGAGGGUACUGGUAUUAAUACUACCAGGUACUGGACGUUACUCGCAGAAUAAGCACCGGCUAACUCUGUGCCAGCAGCCGCGGUAAUACAGAGGGUGCAAGAGUUAAUCGGAAUUACUGGGCGUAAAGCGCGCGUAGGUGGUUCGUUAAGUUGAAUGUGAAAGCCCCGGGCUCAACCUGGGAACUGCAUCCAAAACUGGCGGGCUAGAGUAGGGCAGAGUGUGGUAGAAUUUCCUGUGUAGCGGUGAAAUGCGUAGAUAUAGGAAGGAACACCAGUGGCGAAGGCGACCACCUUGGCUCAUACUGACACUGAGGUGCGAAAGCGUGGGGAGCAAACAGG
rnacentral:rRNA from 1 species